UACGAAGGGGGCUAGCGUUGCUCGGAAUCACUGGGCGUAAAGCGCACGUAGGCGGGUCUUUAAGUCAGGGGUGAAAUCCUGGAGCUCAACUCCAGAACUGCCUUUGAUACUGAGGAUCUCGAGUCCGGGAGAGGUGAGUGGAACUCCGAGUGUAGAGGUGAAAUUCGUAGAUAUUCGGAAGAACACCAGUGGCGAAGGCGGCUCACUGGUCCGGUACUGACGCUGAGGUGCGAAAGCGUGGGGAGCAAACAGG
rnacentral:rRNA from 1 species